rnacentral:rRNA from 1 species
CGGCAACAGCUCAAAUUUGAAAGCUGGCUUCGGCCCGCGUUGUAAUUUGUAGAGGAUGCUUCGGGUGCGGCCCCGGUCUAAGUUCUUUGGAACAGGACGUCAUAGAGGGUGAGAAUCCCGUAUAUGGCUGGUGGCCUGUGCCUAUGUGAAGCUCCUUCGAC